rnacentral:lncRNA from 1 species
AUCUCUCCAGCCCCUUGCCUCAUCUUCUUGAGUACUGGGAUGUGUGUGCCACCAAACCUGACUUUUGUACUCAAUUUGAAAAAUAAUCUAUUGUUUUGUUGUGGGUUUUUUGUUUUGUUUUGUUUUUGUUGUUGUCAUAGUUGUUUGUCUGGUUGUUUGGUUUGGUUUUUUAAAACAGGGUUUCUCUGUGUGAUUGCCCUGGCUGUCCUGGACUCUAUUUUUAGACCAGGCUAGCCUCUGCCUCACAAGCACUGAGAUCAAAGGCGUGCACCACCACGAGUGGCCAUCAUUAAGUGGUUUUUCUAAUCCCACAUUAUUUUAAAUUAUAUUGUAUAGAAUGUUGAUGGACAAAAAAAUAGGUAAUUGAAUAAUGCACAUGUGCACAUAAUGUUUUGAUAACUCACACAUUUUAAAAUCUUUGACUCCUGUAGAGAUCUGCCUACACCCAAACAAAUCAGGUAAGCCUUGAUGCCUGGUUUCUCUGCUCUCAGUUCAAGCCUUGCUUUUCCUCUGAGGUAACUCUCCCACUCCAGUCUCCUCUCACCUCAUCUUGCUGACCACACUUCCUUUGUCCUUCAAAUUUACCUCUUUUCAAAAGUGGGCCUUGCUGCCUGGUCCUCCUAGCAUAUCCCUGUCCCUAGAAAAUUCCUUAGAAGGUCCUUCCCUGACCUUCAGCAAGACUAGAAACAGGUCCUUGGAGGCAUGAGGCCUACCAUGGCUAAAAGUGCCAGCCCAAGUGGCACUUCAGGACACUUAACAAAGUCCAAUGCCAAGUCGUCACCUGGGCUGGGCCAGUCACUAAUGGACUCUGAUAAAAGUCUGGGCUUCAACUGUUGGACUCCAGCUGUGGGAGGAGUCUCAGAACUCAAGGUCCUACUCACCUCUCUGGCUGCUGGCCUCAGACGUGGCAGCUCCAGCUGUGGAAUACAGACAUGAGAGUUUGAGAGCUAGGAUGUGAGGGACAAGGCUGGGAGAAGCCCUAUGAACUCAGGAGGCAUCUCUGACCUGCCGCCCUUGGACUUACAGAGAACAUCAUGUUCCUUUCUUACUUAGUUGCACAGACAAGCACUGGGGCUGACAUCCUCUUGAUGACUUUGGCUCAUGGGUUCAUGAGGGGCUCUGGCUGGAAUGCUGUCAGAGAUCAUUUAACACCAUGCUUUGAGGCACGGAGGUUGAACUACCAGCCCAAGGAUGCUCAUUGGAUGGCACGUCACAAUACAAGUUUCCCGACUAGAGAGUUCUUGGCCUUGAACUAUCUUUCUUUUAACAAUUUUUAAAAUGUUUUUAAUAAUUUAUUUUAUGUGGAUGGAUGUUUGCUUACAGGAAUGUCUGUGCACUACGUGUGUGCCUGUUGUCCGUGGAGGUCAGAAAAGGAUGUGGGAUUCCCCUAGAACUAGAGUUAUAGAAAGUUGUGAGCCACUGUGUGGAUUCUGAGAGUUGUAUUUAGGUCUCCAGGAAGAGCAGCCGGUGUUCUUUACUGCUGAGCUAUCUCUCUAGAUCCUCUCUGAACCAUUCCAUCCUCCUUCCUCUGCCUCCUGAGUACUAGGGUUACAGGCUUGUGCCAACACUCUGAGCCAUAUAGGAUACUUCUUUAAACAAAAAGACAAAAAACUUCUCAUUAACAGCUGGACAUGGGCCGGGCGGUGGUGGCGCACGCCUUUAAUCCCAGCAUUCGGGAAGUAGAGGCAAGUGAAGUUCGAGGCCAGCCUGGUCUACAAAGUGAGUUCCAGGACAGCCAGGGCUAUACAGAGAAACCCUGUCUCAAAAAACC